CUUAUCCAAGUGAUCCUGACUCCCAGUCUAACUGAAAUUCAUAAAAACUGGGCUGGCUUGUUGAGCAAAAAUGCUGUAGCUACACAGCAUUCAUCAUUAAAGCACACCUGCUCUUUCAAACAAACAUUAUGAGGCAUCACCUGCCUAUGUCUCUCUAAUGAAUACCUGGUUAUACGGUAUUUUUCGCUCAGAUCAGUCCUCACAGCAAAAUGGAAGGAGGAAUAGGAAAAUGGAAGUGAACAGAAGUUGCAGAGAAAGGUGGAUUAUGCACGGCAAUGGUGCUGUUAAAAGUAAACAUCACUGGGACUACAGCUUACCUUUAUGCCAAAGCAGGUUAUCACCUGCAUGUCACUGCUGAUGCUUGUCUGGCCACACCAAGAAGUACAGAAGCUAAACAUGCAGGAAAUUGCUACUCCCCCUUCCUCCCCACAAAAGAAAUAGAGAGAGAAGGAGAGAGAGAAACAGAGAGAGAAACAGAAAGAAAGAAGUGAGUGGGGAGCAGUUUUCAUCUGGUGUAAGUCUCUGAAAUGGCUUAUCACGAGGUCAGCUGAAAGCCAAGGCACGCACAAUGGAAGGAGUGGAGCUGAAGGGCUAGAGCACAGGAAUGCAGGGAGCAAAGGACUGACACAGUGGAACCCAGCCUGGAUGAAACUUCUGGGGAGCUGCAGCCAGAGAAACAUCUGUCUCUGGAACUGACAGAUGUAAAAUGUUUGUAACUCCCUACUGCAUGGCUUCUAUCUCUGCUUUUUGCCUGUUUAUUUCUUGAUACAAAGAAGCCCCGAUGCCCAAGUUUUGCUUCUGAAAUGCAAUGCUUAAAAGCAGGAGCAGCACAUACCAGGGAGCUGUCACUGUGCUGCAUUCACACCCCGUGGUGUGGAAGCUGUUGUUUCUUGCAGUGAUUGCUCCUGAGAGAGGGCCUUGAACUAUACUGGAGUGGUUUUGCUUCUUACGAUCUAAGGAAUUUUUGUUUGGAUUGGGUUGGAUUUGUUAUUGUUUUUUCUUAUUAAUUUUAGUUUGCGAGUCUUUCUUUCUUUUUUCCCCAGCAGUCACCAGCCUUGUUACUGAUGCCUGGUCAAUUGGUUGGUCGGAGGAUAGAUAUGAGAAACACAAACUGCACGGUACUUUUAAAACAUACAGGCUGUGUUAAGUUCCCAGCUUCACAGCACACCGGACGUUCAAACAGUCUGGAUCCUAUUUAGCAAACAUUGUAGAACGUAUUCAGUUAAUAAAAGCUUGGCAAAUAUUAGUAAAAGGCUUGUAAUGGCUGGGAGUGAUGUAAAGGUUAAAAGCUUUGAUAGCAUCGUACCAAGCCCGGAUGAAGCUUGAAGGAACCAAAAUGAUGGGCCAAUGAGAAAUCUCAGUGCUGAUGAGGACAUGAUGAAAUAUUCAUUUGUUGGAAUCAGGAAAAGAUGCAACUGUUCUAUAAAUCUGCAUUUAGCUUCAGAACUUGAUUUUUUUAUAUAUAUUUUUCAGCUCAUGCAGUCCAAUUCUCUCAUUAUCAGUGUAUACAAACUAAAACAAGGAAGAAGUUUCCUCACUACUCCCAGCCUGACAAGAAAGCAAGAUGUUCUUUUCUUUAUGCUUAUGUUACACUGUUUUUCCCUAAUUACAAGCCAGGAGAGGGCUGCAGGGCAGACAGGCACAUGGGGAACGCUAUUUAUUGGUAGGAUCAUUUUGGUGCAGCUGCUGCCCUGACUGGGCAGAGAGAAGCUCCCUGUGGCCCUGAGAUUCCAGCACCUCUCAGGGAAGGCCUGGACAGGAGACGCAAAACCAGGACCACCAGAACUCAUGUGCCAGAUCAGGAUGCACUGCAUUCCCGCUUCCAAAACCGCCCUGAAGAUUCACUUUCCUUUAAAGGCUUGUCUGGACGAGGAUAAAGGUGUAUUUAAAAAAAAAAAAAAGUGCCAGUGAAAAACUUUUAAUUAACAUGAUUUCAGACCCGCAGUGUUGACGGGGUGUGUUGUAUUUUAGCGCAUUUGCCAGCAAACGUGUUAAAAUACAUUUGUGUCCUGUCUACAGGUAACAAGUUGGGACAAGUUUCCAAAAGUUUCAACAUUUAAUUGGAAUUAAAAGUGCUGACUGAGGUACUUUUACCCUGGCUGAGGCUGGGUGUCGUACAUGGAUUUUCUGGAGCUCUGAGAACAGCUGUGAGGCACACACUAUCAGCAAACACUGUGUCACAGGUGAGCAGCCAUAGCUGGGAGGCAGUGGCUCUGUGGGUUUGCUGGGCAGCACCUCCUGACUUUCCAGCAGCCCUAUCUCAGCCCUCCCACUUCCCAACAGGAGAGUGUGAAACCAAUCUUGGGCAAAACAUGCUGCGAGGAGUCACAUGUGGAAGCACUGCUGACAAGCUGAUUUUGGGGGUACAGCGUGCAACUGGAGAUCAGGCAGUGGGCUAAGAGAAACGCUGUGAGAUGGUCGCUGUGGGUCCCUUCCACCUCAGGAUAUUCUAUGAUUCUAUGACCUUUGUGUGUGGAAGCCACUGAAGCACAAUGGAGAUGAAAAGAUCAAGAACUUAAGUGAAGUGCAAGAUUAAGAAUGAGGAAUCUCCCCUGCAGCGUAUUUGUUCUUGCUGGAGUCCUAAAGGUGUGGUGUGACAGCGAGCAGCCCAGCGGCUGCUGGGCCAGCCACAUGGUUACAUCUGGUGGUGGCACCUCACAUCGAGGGGUCUCUGUUAGAACAGAGCUGUCCGGGUUGCGAUGCACUGGGAAGGCAGCAUGCAGGUAUUCCAGGCUUCUUGUCUGCUUGCUCUGGAGAACAACUGGAAGAUCUGAGAGUCCAGAAUAAUAUCAAACAAAACUUUUCCUUCUUUUUUUUUUUUCUUUAUUCCAAAGUUGUAGAACAUAGAAAUGGUUGAAAACCACACCGUUUGCAAAGCAUAUGCCGCCAAAACUCCCACAGCCUCUCUGUGCAGUGUUUCAGUGCCACCGCUCUGAGAUCCACGCGCUGCUACAGAAGAAAGGGAACUCGCAGAUGCCAACGCAGGUGAAAUCCCAGUGCAGGUGGACAGACGGAUGGCUUCUAGUGCUGUUAGGUCCUGGCACGGUCUUCAAGGAGGUCUUCUCCAUGAGCUGGUAUCUCGACUAGCGUGAAAAAGACAAAAUAAUAGUUAAAAAAAGAGAAAAUCACGAUCCAAAUGAAGAGGGAGCAGAGCAAGCCCCGAGCUCGGAGUUCCCUCGGGAAGUGGCUCACGAAGAUCUCCGCCUCUCCUCGCCCCUCCGUCGCGCAAACGCCCGCCGAGCACCCGCGGUGCCCCGAACGGGCGUGUCCGGGCGGGGGGGGGGUUCCGGCCGCCACCGCGACCCCGUUCCC
ensembl:lncRNA